GUCCGUUGUGCUGCUUCCCUCAACUACAACAUGAUCUGGAGUCUGAUCUGUCUCUGCUUCACUCUGACUGUUAGCACCGUAGCCAAGGGCAGAAGCCUUCGGGACAGCAGGUACUCUUCGUCUGUAUCGCUGCAGGUCACCAACAACUAACUUUAACUUCCUUCAUACUGGACACAAACAUCACCGACAUUUGUAGUCUGUGGAUUGGGUGGGCUAUUUACAGAUGGACUAUGUACAGCUGCAGCGAUCGGUUAGCUGCUCAGAUAGCUGAUGUUUAAAGUUAGUGAGGGAAAUAUAAGUCUCCAGCUUCAGCAAUUUUUGCAAUUCGUUCCAGGCACUGGCAGCAGAGAACUGGAAGGAAAGGCGGCGUUGGCUUUGGGGAUGACCAGUGAGAUAUACCUGCUGGAGCGCGUGCUAGAGGUGGCCGACACACCCUGUUUUAGACACACCAGUCCGCCCACGGGGAAAAAGUCUGAAUGUGCUUCAGGUGUCGCCCAUCUUCCCAAUUAUCCCCUGUGUAUUUAUACCUGUGUUCUCUGUCUGUUUGUUGACAGUUCGUCUUGUUCGUUCAAGUUUACCAGCGUUUUCCCUGUCAGCUCCUAUCAUUUCCCAGCCUCUCUUUUCUUGUCCUCCUGCUUUUUGACCUUUGCCUGCCUUGAUCCUGUACCCGCCCGCCUGACCUCUCUGCCUGCCCCUGACCCUGAGCCUUCCUGCCGUCCUGUACCUUUGCCUUACCCUGGAUUAUCGACCCCUGCCUGCCUUGACCUGUCUUUGCCUGCCCCUGUUGCUAC
rnacentral:lncRNA from 1 species